rnacentral:rRNA from 1 species
AGUGAACGCUGGCGGCGUGCUUAACACAUGCAAGUCGAACAAGAACGGGUUAUAGCUUGCUAUAAUUGUCAGCUAAGUGGCGCACGGGUGAGUAAUGUAUAGGUAAUAUGCCUCUUACUAAGGGAUAACAAAUGGAAACGUUUGCUAAUACCUUAUACUCCUUAUUAACAGAAGUUAAUAAGGGAAAGAUUUAUUGGUAAGAGAUUAGCCUGUAUUGUAUCAGUUAGUUGGUGGGGUAAUGGCUUACCAAGACUAUGACACAUAACUGGUUUGAGAGGAUGAUCAGUCACACUGGAACUGAGACACGGUCCAGACUCCUACGGGAGGCAGCAGUGGGGAAUAUUGCACAAUGGACGAAAGUCUGAUGCAGCAACGCCGCGUGGAGGAUGACACAUUUCGGUGCGUAAACUCCUUUUAUAUGAGAAGAUAAUGACGGUAUUAUAUGAAUAAGCACCGGCUAACUCCGUGCCAGCAGCCGCGGUAA